ACGAACGCUGGCGGCGUGCUUAACACAUGCCAGUCGAACGGAAAGGCCUCUUUCGGGGGGUACUCGAGUGGCGAACGGGUGAGUAACACGUGAGUAACCUGCCCUUGACUUUGGGAUAACUUCAGGAAACUGGGGCUAAUACCGGAUAGAAGCUCCUGCUGCAUGGUGGGGGUUGGAAAGUUUCGGCGGUUGGGGAUGGACUCGCGGCUUAUCAGCUUGUUGGUGGGGUAGUGGCUUACCAAGGCUUUGACGGGUAGCCGGCCUGAGAGGGUGACCGGCCACAUUGGGACUGAGAUACGGCCCAGACUCCUACGGGAGGCAGCAGUGGGGAAUAUUGCACAAUGGGUGGAAGCCUGAUGCAGCAACGCCGUGUGCGGGAUGACGGCCUUCGGGUUGUAAACCGCUUUCGCUCAUGACGAAGCUUUGUGUGACGGUAGUGGGUAAAGAAGCACCGGCUAACUACGUG
rnacentral:rRNA from 1 species